UACGAAGGGGGCUAGCGUUGCUCGGAAUCAUUGGGCGUAAAGCGCGUGUAGGCGGCCCGGUAAGUCCGCUGUGAAAGUCGGGGGCUCAACCCUCGGAUGCCGGUGGAUACUGUCGGGCUCGAGUACGGAAGAGGCGAGUGGAAUUCCUGGUGUAGCGGUGAAAUGCGCAGAUAUCAGGAGGAACACCAAUUGCGAAGGCAGCUCGCUGGGACGUUACUGACGCUGAGACGCGAAAGCGUGGGGAGCAAACAGG
rnacentral:rRNA from 1 species